rnacentral:rRNA from 1 species
UACGUAGGGGGCAAGCGUUAUCCGGAUUUAUUGGGCGUAAAGAGCUCGUAGGCGGUUUGUCGCGUCUGCUGUGAAAACUCGGGGCUUAACCCCGGGCCUGCAGUGGGUACGGGCAGACUAGAGUGCGGUAGGGGAGACUGGAAUUCCUGGUGUAGCGGUGAAAUGCGCAGAUAUCAGGAGGAACACCGGUGGCGAAGGCGGGUCUCUGGGCCGUAACUGACGCUGAGGAGCGAAAGCAUGGGGAGCGAACAGG